rnacentral:tRNA from 1 species
GGCAGUAUGGUGUAGUGUUUUGAAUGUUGGACCACAACUCUGGAGACCAGGAUUCAAUUCCCAGCUCAGUCA